rnacentral:rRNA from 1 species
UACAGAGGUCUCAAGCGUUGUUCGGAUUCAUUGGGCGUAAAGGGUGCGUAGGCGGCGGGGCAAGUCAGGUGUGAAAUCCCGGGGCUCAACCCCGGAACUGCACUUGAUACUGCCUCGCUGGAGUACUGGAGAGGAGACUGGAAUUUACGGUGUAGCAGUGAAAUGCGUAGAGAUCGUAAGGAAGACCAGUGGCGAAGGCGAGUCUCUGGACAGUUACUGACGCUGAGGCACGAAGGCCAGGGGAGCAAACGGG